CCCAUGAUGAAAAAUCUGUUCAGACCUUGCUGAUGAGUUUCAUCCAGUCCUCAAACUGAUG
rnacentral:snoRNA from 1 species